rnacentral:misc_RNA from 1 species
AGCACAGGAGAAGAAGCCCUGCUAUUCAUAACUGAAGCGUCAUCAAAUGAUCCUCCACUGGCAGUCCUUGCAGGACUACGACCUCUAUUGGACAGUUUAACAAUCAACUUGUGAUUAUUUCCCUCUGCCACAGGGACAUCAACCAUCCUCUCACAUGUCAAACUGGACUGUGGCAAAUUUUCUGAACCUUGAUUUCUGUUCAAGGAAGAAUUCCUGCUUGAACCAGUUUCCUUCUGAACCCCAGAUGAA